GUUACUAUACUUUAUAGUUAGAAGAUCUGGUUUGCAACUAGACAGAGGGUGAAUGCCCUAGUACCA
rnacentral:tRNA from 1 species